UACGAAGGGGGCUAGCGUUGUUCGGAAUUACUGGGCGUAAAGCGUGCGCAGGCGGCUUCUCAAGUCAGGGGUGAAAGCCCAGAGCUCAACUCUGGAAUUGCCUUUGAGACUGAGUGGCUUGAGUACGGGAGAGGUGAGUGGAAUUCCCAGUGUAGAGGUGAAAUUCGUAGAUAUGCGGAGGAACACCGAUGGCGAAGGCAAUCCCCUGGGCCUGUACUGACGCUCAUGCACGAAAGCGUGGGGAGCAAACAGG
rnacentral:rRNA from 1 species